AAUGCCCUGUGGUAUCUGGUAAUCAAAAUUCUGUUUCUGGUUACUUCGUUUUUACAUGGGCAGAAAGUGAAUCUCCUACAGGUCUUGCGACACAGUUAGCUUUUGAUUUGAUAAGCUUACUGUUACUUUAACCCUGUUGACAUUU